rnacentral:rRNA from 1 species
AACGAACGCUGGCGGCAUGCCUAACACAUGCAAGUCGAACGAGACCUCCGGGUCUAGUGGCGCACGGGUGCGUAACGCGUGGGAACCUGCCCUUAGGUUAGCAAUAACUCACCGAAAGGGGUCCUAAUACCGGAUAAUGUCUUCGGGCAAAAGAUCUCUCGCCUUUGGGUGGGCCCGCGUUGGAUUAGCUAGUUGGUAGGGUAAAAGCCUAGCAAGGCGACGAUCCAUAGCUGGUCUGGGAGGAUGAUCAGCCACGCUGGGGCUGCGACACGGCCCAGAAUCGUACGGAAGGGUGGAGUGGGGAAUAUAGGACGAGGGGCGAAAGCGUGAUCCAGCCAGGCCGGGUAAGUGAUGAUGGCCGUAGGGUUGUAAAGCUCUUUUAGCCGAGAUGAUAGUGACGGUACCGGGAGAAUAAGCACCGGCUAACUACGUG